GCGAAGGGGUGGUCGGGAGACAACAGGGAGGAGGGGAAGGGAGCAGGGGAGGAGAGGGAGGGUGUGGGGAUAGGGACAAAGAGACAGAUUAAGGACUAAGUAACAACCAACUGAUUUUGAAUCUGGACAGGAUGAAGGAGAGUAAGAUUAGGGAGCGAGAGAGAGAAAUAGGGACGUAUAUAGCAAUGACAGUAAACUGUUCUGAAACACAAGGAUCGAAACCUGUUUGGACACGCUCCCAGGACAUGUCCUUUAUGCCCGGGACAGGAAAGGAGAGGAGGAGAGGAAAACUGAGCAGGAGAAGAGUGAUGAGAUGAGGACAGGAGAGGCCUACAGCAGAAGUCUACAGGAAAUUCACUUCACUUGAAUGUGCUUAUGCAAACAUUCAGAUGUUUGCCAGACGGCACAUCCUUGUGGCCAUGCGUUUCUGUGUAUUUUAGUGUGUCUGCUAAUGACUGAAAUAGCCACCGCACACACAUAGAACCAGACUCACACACACACACACACAUACCCUCUAACCGCAGAGACUAAUGGGGAUUAAUAAAGCUAAAGAAAAGAGACCCCCUACCAAAUGGAUUUCAUUAAGCAACUCGCCAAGCUAACAAAAUAGUAAUCGAUUGUUUAUAAUAAUUUAAGAAAUACCAAGAUUGUUCAGUUUUUGUCUUUAGAACCUGUGCUGUGAUUUAUUGUGCCUGUACUGUGUUUGGCUGUGUAUAUGUGUGCCUAAUCCCUCCACACAAACACACCUGCUCAACCACAAUAUAACACUCUAACACCACUGCGCAGAACCCAGUUACAGACAAGUGCAGUAAAAACAAAGGUAGGAGUUUGAGAGGGAGGUGAACAUAAAGACUAGGGGGGAGAAAAGGAGUGAGUUAUAGAUAUGACAAAGGGCAGAAAGGGGUUUGAUGACAGUUACACGGAAGGAUUGCAUUAGUUCAGACAUGGCAGGGGAAGUUGUUGGCAUGACUAUAUGUUUAUGAUGUCUAAUUGGUAGCGCCUGUUUACAUUGAGGGUCAAAGCUGUUUCCUCCCACUUUAGAUCGCGCGCGAACCUUCCUCGUUCACCAUGGGAACUGGCAGCUGUGUCCGGGUGCCACUUUGACCAUUGGCCGCGCGCGUAUUACGCAUGGGGAGCUGUGAGAAUACCGGUGCUUGCCAAAACAAGCACCAUCCUUAUUAACACAGUAUGUCUCUAAAGCAGGACUUGGCACGUAACACCACAAGUGUCCCGACUAAACGUAGCUACAUCUUUUCAGACAACGGAAAAUGAAAAUAGGCCACUUAUCUUUACAAUGGCUACUUCCCGUACUACUAUUUAACGGAAGCAGUAGGAUGUGUUGACUACUCGACAAAUAUAUAUUGGCUAAUCAAUGAUGUAGCCUACAUUAAAAUAAUAAAUGAGCAACAAAAUGUAUUUAAUGUGUGUCGUGUCAUGUCAUGUGUAGGCAGUGUUAGACCUACUUCCUCAAAGAAAUAUAUUAUUUGAUAAUAAAUACAAAUCUAAACUUACUUUUGUCUCUGAAAGUUGUACCUCUGAUUAUGUUUUUUUCUUCUCUUCUUUAAAUAUAUCUUCCUCUGAGGUAGGUUGAUGGUC